rnacentral:misc_RNA from 1 species
GGGGGGAUCAUUAACCAGAAAUAUUCCUGGACCAAAGACUGCAAAGUUGAAGGAAAGGGAAAAUUUUACAACAAAUCACCGUUUUAAAACAUAACGUUUUAACACAAACCAAACAAGAUUAACCCAAUUACGAUUCAUUUUUUGAUUCUCAACACCGAUUGCUUUUCAAGUAGUCGACAACAAAGAAACAAAAGAAACGACUCGCAACAACGGAUAUCUUGGUUCUCGCAACGAUGAAGAACGCAGCGAACUGCGAAACGUAAUGCGAAUUGCAGAAUUCAGUGAAUCAUCAAAUGUUUGAACGCAAAUGGCGCUUUUGCUAACUGCAAGAGCACGUCUCUAGGAGAGUCGUUUUUUCCCUCUUCCUGUUUGUACGGGAAGGACAAUGGGUUUGUUUCCUAACUUUAACAAGUAAGGAAUCACCUGAAAACCAUAGAGCACUUUUCCGUGGGCUUGGAUAAUCGUGUUGCACAAACACUUUCUGUCCCGAACACACACACAACAGUGGAUAUUGCCUGCACAAGGCUUUCCUAUUGUUGUCCCUGGCUUCGGUAAGAAAGACAUUGUACCGUUAUCAUUUCCAAACAAGACCAUGUUGAAAAAUCUCAUCCAAACCUUCUAACAACAACUUAAAUUAGAAGACCUCCUAUGAAACGAGAGAACCCGCUGAACUUAAGCAUAUUAUUAAGCGGAGGAAAAGAAACUAACAAGGAUCCCGUCAGUAACGGCGAGUGAAGCCGGGAGAGCUCAAGUCGAAAAUCUGCACGUCUCGCGACGUCGCUAGAAUUGUGGCCUCGAGACAUGUUGUCAUGGUGGCAGCCAGAGCCAAGUCCGCUGGAACGCGGCAUCAAAGAGGGUGAGAAUCCCGUCUCUGCUCUGGCCUUUUCCCUACAGCCCCAGUCCGACACAUGUUCACAGAGUCGUGUUGCUUGGGAGUGCAGCACAAAGUGGGUGGUACACGUCAUCCAAGCUAAAUAUGGGCGAGAGACCGAUAGCGAACAAGUACCGUGAGGGAAAGAUGAAAAGCACUUGGAAACGAGAGUGAAAUAGAGCUUGAAAUUGUUGCGAGGAAAGCACUGGUGAAGGUUUAUUCGUGCCAUGGUGGGUUUGAAGUGCACGAGGCGCAAGAUGGGGACGAGAGGUCAAACCUCGUUUCUUGUCGAUACGACUCGUGCUAAAUACUUCCAUCAUGGCACCGCUGGCAUCACUUUGGAACUAGAGUCGCAGAAACUCAGGAUGAAGGUAGCGGAUCUGCCUGCAACAAGCUCGCCAUGAUCCGAAUCAUACAGCGUUCUGAGCAAUACGACGACCCGGAGUGACCCUCUUCAUUUGCAGAGGAAAACUUGAGUGAGAGCUGGGGAAUCCAGGCGAGAUUCGGUAGGACUGGUUCAUAGAUCCCGUGUUACUGGCGCUUGCUUCAGGUUCCUCCUCCAACACCAGGUCAAGCCGGCGCAAUUCGAAAAAGCCCACCAAUAUCCCGUCUUGAAACACGGACCAAGGAGUCUAACGCGUGUGCGAGUAUUUGUGUGAUUUAAGCACGAAUGCGGAGUGAAAGCAAAGCUUGACGUACGUCUCGUGAGGUGUGAUUAUGGAGGUCUUUGGACCUUUGUAAGCAACAUCGGCCGCCCUCGGUGUUGAGGAGUGAGCACGAGCAUCCGCGUUGGGACCCGAAAGAUGGUGAUCUAUGCUUGGGCAGGGUGAAGCCAGGGGAAACCCUGGUGGAGGCUCGUAGCGGUACUGACGUGCAAAUCGUUCGUCGGAUCUGAGUAUAGGGGCGAAAGACUAAUCGAACCAUCUAGUAGCUGGUUCCCUC